rnacentral:lncRNA from 1 species
AUAAUAAUGAAGGGUGAGAUUGAGAGAAAAACACAAGGAAACGACGCGACCACACCAAAUUGGUCGCUACAUAAAGUGGCACAUUUCAUCGUUACGUAACGACGGAUUUAACGAUACGAUACAAUAAAAUUUAAGUAACAAUCAAAACAAACAUUGUAUUUAAAGUAACAAUGCGAUAUGAUACAAUAGGUGACAACGAUCCAAACAAGUUGUUAAUAAAACAUGGCAGAAUGGCCUAUAUGACACCUAUACUUGUACCAUUUUGUCAUGCCGGUCCCCAAACUCAACAAUUUGCCAACCAAACCCUUAAUACUCCUUUAAACCAUGUAUAAUAAAUGCUUAUGACAGGAGGCUGUCAGUGCGUAUAACACUAUCUCUUCCACGUUGGCUGCCACGUCAAAAAGUAACAAUGUGCAUGUCCUGCGCCGUCCUGACUCGUGCCAUGACCAUGUCCCGCGACGUCCUGACUUGUCCUGACUCGUGCCAUGGCCAUGUACUGCGACGUCCUGGCACGUCCUGACUCGUUCCAUGGCCAUGUCCUGCGACGUCCUGACACGUCCUGACACAUGCCAUGGCCGUGUCCUGCGACGACCUAACACGUGCCAUAGACGUCAGAUGGUAGAUUAAAAAUAAUUAAAAUAAAAAAUAAAUAAAAAUAAAGUUCAAACACUAAUCCCCUUCCUCAAAUGGUGCGAUUGCUGUGAACAUCAACGACAGAAUUUUGUCAUAAUUUGUAGGUUAGGAUGCUUCAGGUAUAUAAAAGUUACUCUUUUCGGUUUCUGAAUCUUUCUUAGUGUUGAAAAAUACUAUUGCUGAUCUGGGUGUUUGAGGGAAAGAAGAAGAGGCUGUUGGUUAAGGAUUCGUAUUUUUAAGCCAAAGGGUGGAAUUUUGGAACAAUUGAAUAAGAUGAGGCAUCUAUGCCCCCCAAAAGGAUGAAGAAACAAUUAACGGGGAAACGUGAGGACACUGUCUUGCUUUCAUUGGCUAGAGCAGGAAAUCUUGUUUAAAUAAGAGAGAUUAUCGAUAACACGGGCAUAUUGGGAGCACAUCCUGAGCUUUGACUGUUGAUAAUGAAAAUACAACAGCUUUGCAUAGUGCAGCAAACCAAAGGCAUAUUGAGGUGGUGAAUUAUAUCUAUUAGAAGCAGAGAAAAGUUUGGCCACUAUUGUUAAAAGUAAUGGGAAAACAACACUUCAUUCUGCUGCCAGAAAUGGACAUUUGUCGAAGCAAAACUGAUAUUUAUCAUAUCGGUUCUGGUUCAAAUUGAGUGAUUCCAAGCAGCGGAGAUUGUUCUCCACUUCAAAUACCAUCGACUCACCAAGUUUCAGACAAUUUCAAUGCCGGAAUAGUCUCCUCCAACCAACUGAAUAUGGCCGGCGAACACCAGUUGGUCGAGCAUGGAGCUACAGGUGUCCAAAUUGAACAAGAUCAAUGCCAAUUGACUCCAACUGAGCAACUGAUUGAUGCCAAACGAUCAAACAACAACUACAAUGAAUCAAUCGUCACAACAAUUCAAAAAACAAAAUCUACAAAAUUACAGACACCAGGUGUUCGAUGAAAUACUAAACUCAGGGGAGGGGAGAAAGAAUUGGACAAAAAAUAUUGAAGAGAGAGAAAAAAAGAAUUGGACAGAAAAUGUUGGAGAGAGGGAGAAAAGCAAAGAAGAAAAGCUCACUUUUGUUCAACAAUGGAGGAUGAACAACCGGGAAGAUGAUGACAGCCAAAAAAUGGCUCUUGGUACCUUUUUAAUAGGCCUCAUGCUCCUUAAACGAGUGCAGCACACGCACUUUAGUAAAAAUUGCCACAUAGGAUGAGCGGGGUUUAAAAUGUUUAAUUUUUAAGGGUAAAAGAGUUUGGUUGACAAAUUGUUAAGUUUGGGGAUCGACAUAACAAAGUGGCACAAAUAUAAGUGUCAUUUAUCAGCAGUUUGAGUAUUGGGAAAUAUAAAGACACUUUAAUGACAGUAUAGAUCCACCAACUUAAAUCAACUGAUUCCUUCAAUUUGUCCUUGUUUU